GAGUAACACGUUGGUGACCUGCCCCGAAGUGGGGGAUAACCAUGGGAAACUGUGGCUAAUACCGCAUAUGCUCUAGGGGGUUAGAGGCCUCUAGAGUAAAGCUCCGGCGCUUCGGGAGGGGCCUGCGGCCUAUCAGCUAGUUGGUAGGGUAAUGGCCUACCAAGGCUAAGACGGGUAGGGGGCGUGAGAGCGUGGCCCCCCACAAUGGAACUGAGACACGGUCCAUACUCCUACGGGAGGCAGCAGUGAGGAAUAUUGCACAAUGGGGGAAACCCUGAUGCAGCAACGCCGCGUGGGUGAUGAAGGCUUUCGAGUUGUAAACCCCUUUUCUUGGGGAAGAUAAUGACGGUACCCAAGGAAUAAGUCUCGGCUAACUACGUGCCAGCAGCCGCGGUAAAACGUAGGAGGCAAGCGUUAUCCGGAUUUACUGGGCGUAAAGCGCGUGCAGGUGGUUUGGUAAGUUGGAUGUGAAAGCUCCUGGCUCAACUGGGAGAGGUCGUUCAAUACUACCAGACUUGAGAGCAGUAGAGGGAGGUGGAAUUCCCGGUGUAGUGGUGAAAUGCGUAGAUAUCGGGAGGAACACCAGUGGCGAAAGCGGCCUCCUGGACUGUUUCUGACACUCAGACGCGAAAGCUAGGGUAGCAAACGGGAUUAGAGACCCCGGUAGUCCUAGCUGUAAACGAUGUGAACUUGGCGUCGGCGGGUUCAAAGCCGUCGGUGCCGAAGCUAACGCGAUAAGUUCACCGCCUGGGGACUACGGCCGCAAGGUUAAAACUCAAAGGAAUUGACGGGUCCCCGCACAAGCAGCGGACCGUGUGGUUUAAUUCGAUGUUACACGAAGAACCUUACCCAGGUUUGACAUGUUGGUGGUAGGGAAGCGAAAGCAGACCGACCCGCAAGGGAGCCUUCACAGGUGUUGCAUGGCUGUCGUCAGCUCGUGUCGUGAGAUGUUCGGUUAAGUCCGCCAACGAGCGCAACCCUCGCCGUAUGUUACAAGUGUCAUACGGGACCGCCGGUAUCAAGCCGGAGGAAGGUGGGGAUGACGUCAAGUCAGCAUGGCCUUUAUACCUGGGGCUACACACACGCUACAAUGGCCGGUACAAUGGGUCGCUAAGCCGCGAGGUAGAGCCAAUCCCUAAAGCCGGUCUCAGUUCAGAUCACAGGCU
rnacentral:rRNA from 1 species